rnacentral:lncRNA from 1 species
UUUUGUGUCUUUAUACUAGAUUUGCAAUCACUGUUGGUCAUCCAGGUGGAGUUAUCAAGGAGGCAGUUCAAAGUAUGGGUGCACGGAGAUCUAAUUUGGAGAUACAAUAGAGAUGGACAUAUACGCAUGAAUACGGGAAAAUGAGAAUAAAACUGAACAGCGGUUCUUUCCAACAUUCCUAAUUCCUACAAUUCUAAGGAUUCUGAAAAUUACUUAGUUCCAGUUUGGAAGAAGGAGACGGAGAAGGAGCAUACAGGACAGACCAUUUCUAACAAGCAACUCCAAUACCCUAUUUUGUGUACUAAACUGCAGCUUCUACAAAUAGCGGGUGCUUGAUUUUGAAAUGAACAAAAGAGAGAGACAGAAAAGAAAGUUUGAAGGCAUAUCACAUCUUGUGAGGAGUUGGGCAGAUGUUAAAAGUCCUCAUAGAGCAUGCAUGAAUCACCUGACAUAA